rnacentral:rRNA from 1 species
GAUGAACGCUAGCUACAGGCUUAACACAUGCAAGUCGCGGGGCAGCAUGGGGGUUGCUUGCAAUCCCCGAUGGCGACCGGCGCACGGGUGAGUAACGCGUAUCCAACCUGCCCUUCACCACGGGAUAACCCGGCGAAAGUCGGACUAAUACCGUAUGUUGUCCAUUGACGGCAUCCGAUUUGGACGAAAGGCUUGGCGGUGAGGGGUGGGGAUGCGUCCGAUUAGCCAGACGGCGGGGUAACGGCCCACCGUGGCUACGAUCGGUAGGGGGUCUGAGAGGAAGGUCCCCCACACUGGAACUGAGCCACGGUCCAGACUCCUACGGGAGGCAGCAGUGAGGAAUAUUGGUCAAUGGGCGUAAGCCUGAACCAGCCAAGUAGCGUGCAGGAUGACGGCCCUAUGGGUUGUAAACUGCUUUUAUGCGGGGAUAAAGUGGCCCACGUGUGGGCUUUUGCAGGUACCGCAUGAAUAAGGACCGGCUAAUUCCGUA